AACGCGAAGAACCUUACCUGGCCUUGACAUGCACGGAAUUUAGCAGAGAUGCCUUAGUGCCUUCGGGAACCGUGAGACAGGUGCUGCAUGGCUGUCGUCAGCUCGUGUUGUGAAAUGUUGGGUUAAGUCCCGCAACGAGCGCAACCCUUAUCCUUUGUUGCCAGCACGUCAUGGUGGGAACUCAAAGGAGACUGCCGGUGAUAAACCGGAGGAAGGUGGGGAUGACGUCAAGUCAUCAUGGCCCUUACGGCCAGGGCUACACACGUGCUACAAUGGCGCAUACAAAGAGAAGCGACCUCGCGAGAGCAAGCGGACCUCAUAAAGUGCGUCGUAGUUCGGAUCGGAGUCUGCAACUCGACUCCGUGAAGUCGGAAUCGCUAGUAAUCGUAGAUCAGAAUG
rnacentral:rRNA from 1 species